UACGUAGGGGGCUAGCGUUGUCCGGAAUCAUUGGGCGUAAAGAGCGUGUAGGCGGUCCGGUAAGUCCGCUGUGAAAGUCGGGGGCUCAACCCUCGAAUGCCGAUGGAUACUGUCGAGCUAGAGUCCGGAAGAGGCGAGUGGAAUUCCUGGUGUAGCGGUGGAAUGCGCAGAUAUCAGGAGGAACACCAAUAGCGAAGGCAGCUCGCUGGGACGGUACUGACGCUAAGGCGCGAAAGCGUGGGGAGCGAACAGG
rnacentral:rRNA from 1 species